AUGAAUAAUAUUCAGAAUUACUUCUUUAUUAGAAUCAUAAGCCAGCCUCUUAUGUAUUCUGGAAGCCAUAAAUUAAGGACCCUGACUACAACACAAUCCAAGUCAUUAAAAAUUAAUUCUAUGACAAAGAAUUAUU